rnacentral:rRNA from 1 species
GGGCCCGCACAAGCGGCGGAGCAUGCGGAUUAAUUCGAUGCAACGCGAAGAACCUUACCUGGGUUUGACAUAUGCCGGAAGCAUUCAGAGAUGGGUGUGCCUUUUUGGUCGGUUUACAGGUGGUGCAUGGCUGUCGUCAGCUCGUGUCGUGAGAUGUUGGGUUAAGUCCCGCAACGAGCGCAACCCUUGUCCUAUGUUGCCAGCACUUCGGGUGGGAACUCAUGGGAGACUGCCGGGGUCAACUCGGAGGAAGGUGGGGAUGACGUCAAGUCAUCAUGCCCCUUAUGUCCAGGGCUUCACGCAUGCUACAAUGGUUGGUACAGAGGGUUGCGAGCCUGUGAGGGUUAGCGAAUCCCUUAAAGCCAGCCUCAGUUCGGAUUGGGGUCUGCAACUCGACCCCAUGAAGUCGGAGUCGCUAGUAAUCGCAGAUCAGCAUUGCUGCGGUGAAUACGUUCCCGGGCCUU